UGGAAAGUUGUUGAGCUAAUUCCAUCGAUGAUGCGCACAAUGUUCUUCUGCUCAUCACGUCAAAUGGGCCUCCUUUUAACGUCUGGAUCUAUUGACACACCGCCAGCUUCUCGAACAAUAAGAUCUCCAGCUGCAACAUCCCAUGCAUGUAUACCAAAUUCAAAAGAAGCGUCAACACCACCAAGAGCCACCAUGCACAUAUUUAGAGCUGCCGCACCAAACGAUCGUAUUCUGUAGGAUAAGACUAUUUUCAAUUUUUCUGGAUCUCUACUAGUUCCCACUUCUAACAUUACUAAUGCCUGACGCAAUUCUGGAGUAAUGACAGUUAGUUAAAUUUAACAAAAUAAUUAGAAGGACUCGAAUUAUAUAUUAAAAAUAUUGAUUUAUAUAUAUUGUAUAUAUAGGAAUUUUUGUAAACUAAAAUUUAAAUAGUUGUGUGUAGUCAUAUGAAAAAGAUUUUCAAAAUUUGAAAUGCAGGAUAAUCUUUUUGAUGCUACGUAUGGUACCGUAAGAUAUAUGUAUUUCAAUUUACUCUUUACUAAUCGUUUAAAAAUGUUCGUUUUAAUAAUUAUUUACAUUACAUAUAAUCGAGUUUAUGAUUAAAGUACUAACAAAACAUUUGAAUAAAUAUUUUGAGCGCGUAUAUAAAUGCCAAACUAUAAAGAUCUAUCGGAAGGAUAUUAUAUGUAUAAUCCUAUC